rnacentral:tRNA from 1 species
GCCAACAUGGUGUAGUGGUUUGAGCAUUAGACUAUGACUCCGGAGACCAGGGUUCGAAUCCCAGCUCGGACA